GUGUAUUUGGCAACCAACCUGGUGUUGCUAGAGGAAUUUAAAGAACAUUUGCAAUAUGAAGUCUAAAAAGAAACUAAAAAGAUAUGGGUCCUGAGAUCCUCGAAAGGUUCUACAGCUGCAACACCAAGAGCAUCCUGAACGGUUGCAUCACUGCUUGGUACGAGGGCCUGUGACAGGGAUGAAGUGAGGGGGAGGUCUUGCUGCUGAAAAGAUGUUGUGUAUCAGUGUUGUGUGUAGUUAUCUUUCUCCCUUGAGUAUUUCUUACUGUAGCUCAGUCUCUCUGGUCUGCCUGUCUCUGUGAGGCUCAGACACACCAGGAAAAAGGGUUGCCGGGCUGCAUGCUACAGCCACAGCAGUGGACUUUCUCAUUGGAGGCAAUUCUGAGGCAGUAGACCAUUCUGAGGCAAUGCUAAGGAAAGGUCCAAUAGUCCUGACAUCUGGAUUCUGGAUGAGGAUGCUUUAAAGAAGUCCAUUCUGUACCCAUUGGAGCUCAGGAUUCUGGGAUACACACAGGAACACAGCUGACAGAGUUUGCCAACAGACUCUAUACCUCUGAACAGGACUGAGG
ensembl:lncRNA